rnacentral:lncRNA from 1 species
GGUCGGGAUGCCUCCAUAUUUUGGGACGAAGUACCUACGUGGACUCCCUGAAGAUGUUCGUGAGUCCGCGACCCGUUCUCCAUCGACCAACGAGCUCGGCUCGUUCUCCAUCGGCCAACGAGCUCGGCUCGUUCUCCUACCCCGACCACGGCCGGGAUGCCUCGAGACGUCGAGAUGCCCCGAUACGUUGGGAUGCCCCAAUACGUUGGGAUGCGGUCUUCACCGGCCAACGAGCUCGGCUCGUUCUCCAUCGA